rfam:TPA: Bos taurus chromosome 19, whole genome shotgun sequence.
UCCCUGGCAGUCCAGUGGCUAAGACUCCAUGCUCCUAAUGCAGGAGACCCAGGUUCAAACCCUGGUCAGGGAA